AGAGAAGAAAAGCAGGUGGAAGGAGAGGAAGCGGAUGCCGUGGGGUUUACAGCAGGAAAAUCCGUGGAGACAGCAGAUCCGAGAAGCGGCGAUGUUUGCGUAGAACCCUCUGUUGCAAAAGUCAAGAUUUUUUAAAAAAUAUAAAAGAGCAGGGCCGGGCACGGUGGCUCACGCCUGUAAUCCCAGCACUUUGGGAGGCCGAGGCAGGUGGAUCACGAGGUCAGGAGAUGGAGACCAUCCUGGCUAACACGGUGAAAGCCUGUUUCUACUAAAAAAAAAAAAAAAAAAAAAAAAUUAGCUGGGUGUGGUGGCAGGCGCCUGUAGUCCCAGCUACUUGGGAAGCUGAGGCAGGAGAAUGGUGUGAACCUGGGAUGUGGAGGUUGCAGUGAGCCGAGAUCGCGCCACUGCACUCCAGCCUGGGUGACAGAGCGUGACUUUGUCUCAAAAAAGAAAAAAAAA
rnacentral:lncRNA from 10 species